CUCAGUCUGUUCUUUGCACACUGUAGCCACACCCUCUGACUUCCUUCUGUCCAAUACUUUAAUAUAGAUCCUUAACCCUUUACUGUGGUCUGCUCAUACUUCUCAACCAAGCCCCUGUCUACCUCAUCAUCAUCAUUCGGUCCUCAGUCACUUCAGUACUUUUCACCAUCUGACUCAUCGAGGCUCUUCAUGCUGUAAAGCAGUUCAACUUCUCCAGGAAACAGAGUCAGGCAGAGCUUAGAGUUCCGGAUGUUUAUCAGGGAGUGGUGCUUGAGUCAACACCCGUGCAAAGGACUGGGCUGAGGCAGAAUUGGGAAGAGGGAGAAAUCCAGCUGAGAUGCAAGCCAGACAGUGCCCGCCAACAGCACAGGGUGCUCAGAAACUUGAAACAGAACACAGAGGUAAGUGCCUGCCACAGAGAAGCACACACACAUGCCUGUAACUGAAAUGCCUUCUCCUACAUUAAGAAAUUCCUACUUGACAGACCCUCUGAGUGGUCAUGCUGAUCCAGAUCCAGUGCUUGAGUUGGUCCACCCCAACAACUACUCCAUCUAAGAGCUGCUGGAACCGGUGGAGGAGCUGGUGAUACAAAACCAGAUUCAGGAACAAGUCAUCUACACUGAGGAUUAAAACCUGAAGCGUGGCUGUGAUGGAGGCUAGCACCUGCCACUGUGGAGCAGCCCCGAGGAGCCUAAAAGAUCCAUGCAGUUUCCGAGGGGAGACAAAGCACUAGCAGAGGAGUCUGCAGAGAUGACAGUGUCCAUGGGAAGAUGCUUUUUAAAAGUAGACUUGUGAAAUUGGAAGGAAAGAUGGCAGAACAGAGCCAGAUGCAUGGAAUAGAAUGGCCAAACUACAAAGGGCAAUGCCAUGGUCCAGGCUGUAGCCAGAGAGACAAUGAAUCUUUUUUUUUUUUUCAGUGUGGUAUUGAUGACUGCAAACUCACAUCUGAGAAUUAAAGACAUAGAAGGCUUUUGUGACAACCUCCAACAAAACAGUCUAGACAGUUAUUGAAGAGAACUCUUAAAAAAUGUGAUAAGGAUGCUGAAGAGUGGCUCUUCACAGUUCAUGGCUUCUGGUGGGGGUUGGGUAGGAGAAGGAAUCUGUUAUCUUCAAGGGGUUGGAUACUUGGAUUUUGACUGCAUCAGUAAAUAUAUUGGCAACACAAA
rnacentral:lncRNA from 1 species